rnacentral:rRNA from 1 species
ACGUAGGGGGCAAGCGUUAUCCGGAUUUACUGGGUGUAAAGGGAGCGUAGGCGGCGAUGCAAGUCAGAAGUGAAAGCCCAGGGCUUAACCGUGGGACUGCUUUUGAAACUGUGUUGCUGGAUUGCCGGAGAGGUAAGUGGAAUUCCUAGUGUAGCGGUGAAAUGCGUAGAUAUUAGGAGGAACACCAGUGGCGAAGGCGGCUUACUGGACGGUAAAUGACGCUGAGGCUCGAAAGCGUGGGGAGCAAACAG